rnacentral:lncRNA from 1 species
AGUUUCCCAACAUUACAUUCUCUCUCAAAUUCUUUCAGGAUAUUAAAUUCUAUUUUAAUGGCUGUUUUCAAUUAUUCUUAUUUUACCAUUUUCUUCGUACAUUACUUUUUAUUCUUCUUCUUCUUCUUCUUUGCAGAUUGUAGCAGUGUAUCAGCAGCAUCCAGUCGCCGCCAUAAAUGGAUAGGACCUUCAGGCACUCGCCAUAUCUCAGUUAAUGUUAAUGGUUAUGGAGAUUACCAGUCAGUUCAGGCUGCUGUGGACUCUAUUCCACACAACAACCGAAUGAAUGUCAUUAUUGACAUUUGCCCUGGUUAUUACAUGUUUAUGACACAUGUAUCAAACAUGCAUCACGCAUGUAUCUCACACAUAGAUAUACAUGGAUAUACAUGUGAUACACAAUCGAUACAAAUAUGAUACACAGUGUGAUACACGUAUCUUUUUUUUUUCAUAUUUAGUUUUUACUUCGAAUUUUCGAUUCAAACCACCUCAAAACUUCACCAAAUCAUUUCAAAACUGAGAUUCAAGCUUUUUAAAAUAUACCCAAUCUAUUAUAAUAGCACACACUCUAAAGAAAGUAAAAAUUUGAUAUUUUUCUGUUACAAAUUAGCCAUUUUAACUAAUAUUAGUAAUAUUCUAUUAAUUAAUUACUUUUUAUAAUAAGCUACUUCUAAAUGGACAAUAACUGAUAAUUUCUCAUUCUUUUUUCAUUCUACACACAAAUUAAUUACUAUUAACUGCUCAAGGUUAACCAGGAUUUCAUUCUUCUUUUAAUUGUAUAUUCAAUGAUUUGAGGUCCUACACCCAAAAAUCAAGCAAAAUCAACAUCCCAUCAUAAAUAACUUUCUUGCUUCUUUUAAAAAGAUCAAUCUUUAUACAAGUUUGGAAUUUUUGUCUAAACGCCCCUUUGUGGGGAAAAGUUCUUUUCCCCCUUUCCAACGUUCGGGAAAAACCGACUUUUAAAUUCGAAGGGCCCAUCCAUUUCCAUGAACAUUAAAAACAAACAAAAAUAUAAAAUUACUCAUACACAUAGCUAGGGAGUGGGACCAAGGGGAGAAGAAGGAAAGCAACUAUAGUGUAUUUUAUUAGUACAAAAAUGUUGAGACCAGGCUAGGACCAUUUUUUCCCUACAUGCACACCAUUAUCGCUAUAUUACUCGUAUGUAUUCCCCACACGCAAAUAAUAAACAUGACCGUUUCAACGUUUAUCUAUAACAUUUAGGGCUCCUUUGGUAUUAGGGAUAAGAGAUCUUGGGAUUAAAUUUGAGAUAAAUUUAUUUUAUAUUUGGUUAAAAUAAAACUAUGGUAUAAUUAAUUUCGAGAUUAAUUAUCUCAGGAUUAUAAUAUUUUUUUAAUCCCUAUGGGAGGAUGAAAUAAUUAAUCCCAGGAUAAUCCCGAAAUAAUUAAUCAUGGAAUAACUUGUUUGUCAACCAAACGACCCCUUAUAGCUAAACAUUCGAGACACUUUGUAGUCUUCAUUUUUUGUUUCCCGCUCAAUGUUUGAUAUUCGCAUUGAGGUCCGAUUAAGUUUGAAUAAGUCCGGCAUUCUUCCCUCCAAAAACUUCUCACCUUGCUCUUGGGGAGAUUCGAACCAACUACCUCUCGGUUGAAAAUGAGGGUUGCUUACCAUCAGAGAACCCUUCUUGUCUCGAUUAGAAAUAGACCUUAAGUUUAAUUUACCUAUUCAUGUCAGUAAAUAAAAUACCGAUAUUCUAUGAAAAUGUGCCAUAUAACUAAAAAACAUUUUUAAUUCAUAAAACCUUUCUUCCUUUUAACUUCUUAUAUUUGUAGAGUAAUGGUAUUUCCUUUUUCUUAUUUUCUUUUUGAAUAGUGUAUGAUUAUACUUUUUCCUGCUAAUCAGCACAGAAAUCUAAGUUACAAAAGAUGAAAACAAAUAAUAAGAGUCCAAGUUCUUGACUUUUGAACAAAAUGGUCACGCAUAUAUAACAAAUUAAUUAUUAUCACAUUAUAUAAUUAAAAAUAUAUUCCUGAAGGCGAGGGAACACAGAAAAUAUGACCGUUGCAGGUUCCAAAUUCUCCACACAUAUAUAUACUUCCUUCACUUAAUAACAUUCUUCCCCAGUUUCCCAACAUUACAUUCUCUCUCAAAUUCUUUCAGGAUAUUAAAUUCUAUUUUAAUGGCUGUUUUCAAUUAUUCUUAUUUUACCAUUUUCUUCGUACAUUACUUUUUAUUCUUCUUCUUCUUCUUCUUUGCAGAUUGUAGCAGUGUAUCAGCAGCAUCCAGUCGCCGCCAUAAAUGGAUAGGACCUUCAGGCACUCGCCAUAUCUCAGUUAAUGUUAAUGGUUAUGGAGAUUACCAGUCAGUUCAGGCUGCUGUGGACUCUAUUCCACACAACAACCG